rnacentral:rRNA from 1 species
UUGGGCCGCCGGCCCCCACCAUUACCCACCAAAAACAACGGUCAGUCCCCCGUCCGCAAUCUGUCACUGCUCAGUAACCCUUACUCAUCAGUAACACGUGGCCAAGAUACCCUGUGGACGGGAAUACUCUCGGGAAACUGAGGCUAAUCCCCGAUAACGCUUUGCUCCUGGAAGGGGCAAAGCCGGAAACGCUCCGGCGCCACACGAUGCGGGUGCGGUCGAUUACGUAGACGGUGGGGGAACGGCCCCCCCCGACCAUAAUCGCUACGGGGUGUAAGAGCAAGAGGCCGGAGACAGAAUCAGAGACAAGAGUCCGCGGCUCACGGGGGGCAGCAGGCGCGAAAACUUUACACAGUACGAAAAAGCGAUAAGGGGGCUCCGAGAGGAAGGCACAGAGACGUCACUUCGUCACCGUAAGGAGGAGCGCCGAAAA